UCCCCUGUAGCUCAGACGGUAAAGAAGCUGCCUGCAAUGCAGGAGACCUGGGUUCGAUCCCUGGUUCGGGAA
rnacentral:tRNA from 1 species